AGAACAAAUUUUACUCCACCGUAAUCAUGUGUCGUUUGUCGGCCACGAAAACAGACAAGCAACAUAGUAGGAACCGAUGUUUCGCCGUAGAGAAUUAGUCUAAGUUGUAUUGUAUUCGAUCUAUUGAGCUUUAUUCUCUUACGAGUCGGUUUUUAGGGGCAAGUUCUGACUUCCGAUCAUUGCCUCGUAUAAUAUUAGAGCAAGUGCUUCCAAUAUUUGACCCAAACUACUAUCUAAGCCCAUCGGUUUACAAAUCGGAAGACCACCAAGUCUGUAAAAAAUGGUGGAUACCAAGCGUUCUGUCGCUCUCGACCUCUUUUGUGUUUGUGUUUUUGGUGCAGGUGAAUCUUUGGAGGUACUGGAAGGUGUGGAACCAGUUGCAGAGGGACAAGAGCGUGAACCGAGCACUCACUAGGUGUAUUCAAGAGCUGAGGAUGAAGGGGGCGAGCUUCGAUUUGUCGAAGGAGCAGCAAAGCGGGUUUGGUGUUUCCUGUUUCGAAAUUCAUGCUCUGUGGAUUAUGAAGAUGCUUGGAAAAGUUUGCUGAAGCUGAGAAUGGUAGCAUUCAAGAUGUAGCAGAAGCUGGAAGGGAAAGACAGGAGGCAGAAAGCAAUCCUUCAAACCAGCCAACCAGCGGAGCUGAACACAGCUGACUUCAGCCGGGUUCUCCAUCAAUCUCCGGGCCAUUGCUCAACUCUUUCCGUCAAGCAGUCACCGGUGAUCUGAUCAGAGUCUUCAUUCAAUGCGAGUCACGGUGAUCUGAUCGAAGUCUCCAUCCAAUGCUUGGGAAGCCUGCAGAAAACAAUCCUUCAAACCAGCCAACCAGCGGAGCUGAACACAGCUGACUUCAGCCAGGUUCUUCCAUCAAUCUCCUGGCCAUUGCUCAACUAUUUCCGUCAACCAGUCACUGGUGAUCUGAUUGGAGUCUUCAUUCAACGGUGAUCUGAUUGAAGUCUUCAUUCAACUUUUAAGAAGCCUUUAGUAUCAGAUAAUCUGUCAUGGUAAUCCAAAUGUUUUGCUGCUGCUGAAUCAUCCUUUUCUUCAAUGUCCAAAAGGAGAAGGGGGGAUGAAGCAUCUUUGGUCCGCUUACUAGCCAGACACAUUCGAACAACCAAAUUAUACUCUCUUUUCAUGUUCUGAUCAUUCGAGAUGAUAAGCGGAAACAGACAUUUUAUCUCCUACACUACCUUUGAAGCCUGCAUUCACUCAAACAACGAAAUUAUAUGUGUAGGGUUCGCAAAAAUCUAAUACUUCCAGCCAGAUCAAGGGCACACUGCUAAAGCUCUCCUCUCUUUGUACAUGUGAUUAUAUAUCAUAAUUCAUCCAAUGAAAUUGUUCUUGUUUAUACAGAAAUACAAUUGUGUCAUACAGUCAUACUACAAA